CAUUCCAUUUAUGCAGUCUCUUAUUUCAUUUCUUUGAGAUUUGGAGCAGCUGUAUCACUGCAUCAUCAUUUGAAACUUGCUGUUAUGAUGUAGUUAUAUAGUUCAUUUCAUUUGAGAUGUUUAUUUGAAAUUUGCGAUGUUUCCUUUGUUUAUAAUAUGUGUGGAUUCAUCUUAGUGCUGGGUAAUUGAGGAAAUGUCUUUGAAAUUGCUGUGAUUUUAAUUUUAGGAGGAUGGCCAUAGUGUACUAACAAGAAAGGCUACUGAGAAUGGCCGCUGGAAUUGUGAUGGAUCACCAUACUCAUGUCUUCUGAGGAAUGAACUGCUUGGUGCUGGCAUUGAAGAUGUUAAAGACCAAUAUGAUGAGAGAGGGGCAUUGGUCCCACUGAAUGGAAGAAAUCUGUUUAAGGUAUCCAUACUGUGAUGCGAUAACUGAGAGAGAGCCGUUGCUAGGUUAUGGCACAGUAUAUGUGGUG